UUCCGGUUGAUCCUGCCGGACCCCACUGCUAUCGAGGUGGGACUAAGCCAUGCUAGUUGAGCGCACAGAACUAUGUCUGUGAGCGGCACACUGCUCAGUAACACGUAGCUAACCUACCCUUAGGACGUGGACAACCCCGAGAAAUUGGGGCUAAUCCGCGAUAGAUGUAAUGUCCUGGAAUGGUAUUACGUCCAAAGGUAUCCCAUACAUGUUUGGUAUACGCCUAAGGAUGGGGCUGCGGCCGAUCAGGCUGUUGGUGAGGUAAUGGCUCACCAAACCUUUGACCGGUACGGGCCAUGAGAGUGGUAGCCCGGAGAUGGACACUGAGACAAGGGUCCAGGCCCUACGGGGCGCAGCAGGCGCGAAACCUCCUCAAUGCACUUACGUGCGAAGGGGCUACCUCGAGUGCCACCUGAUGAAGGUGGCUUUUCCUAGGUCUAAAAAGCCUUGGGAAUAAGAGGGGGGCAAGACUGGUGUCAGCCGCCGCGGUAACACCAGCCCCUCGAGUGGUGGGGAUGAUUAUUGGGCCUAAAGCGUCCGUAGCCUGCCGUAUAAGUUUCCCGUUAAAUCCAGCGUCUCAAGCGUUGGACUGCGGGAAAUACUGUACGGCUAGAGAGUGGGAGAGGUCAGCGGUAUUCUGGGGGUAGGGGCGAAAUCCUUUGAUCCCCG
rnacentral:rRNA from 1 species